rnacentral:rRNA from 1 species
CUACGGGCUGCAGCAGUGAGGAAUAUUGCACAAUGGGGGGAACCCUGAUGCAGCAACGCCGCGUGGAGGAUGACGCAUUUCGGUGUGUAAACCCCUUUUAUAUGUCAAGAAAAUGACGGUAGCAUAUGAAUAAGCACCGGCUAACUCCGUGCCAGCAGCCGCGGUAAUACGGAGGGUGCAAGCGUUACUCGGAAUCACUGGGCGUAAAGGACGCGUAGGCGGGCUUGUAGGUCAGGUGUGAAAUCCUACAGCUUAACUGUAGAACUGCACUUGAAACUACGAGCCUAGAGUAUGGGAGGGGGAGAUGGAAUUAGUGGUGUAGGGGUAAAAUCCGUAGAUAUCACUAGGAAUACCUAAAGCGAAGGCGAUCUCCUGGAACAUAACUGACGCUAAGGCGUGAAAGCGUGGGGAGCAAACAGGAUUAGAUACCCGCGUAGUC